AUGCUCAAAAUUCUCCAAGGUAGGCUUCAGCAAUAUGUGAACCAUGAACUCCCUGAUGUUCAAGCUGGUUUUAGAAAAGGCAGAGGAACCAGAGAUCAAAUGGCCAACAUCCACUGGAUCAUGGAAAAAGCAAGAGAGUUCCAGAAAAACAUCUAUUUCUGCUUUAUUGACUAUGCCAAAGCCUUUGACUGUGUGGAUCACAAUAAAUUGUGGAAAAUUCUGAAAGAGAUGGGAAUACCAAACCACCUGAUCUGCCUCUUGAGAAACCUAUAUGCAGGUCAGGAAGCAACAGUUAGAACUGGACAUGGAACAACAGACUGGUUUCAAAUAGGAAAAGGAGUACAUCAAGGCUGUAUAUUGUCACCCUGCUUAUUUAACUUCUAUGCAGAGUACAUCAUGAGAAACGCUGGACUGGAAGAAACACAAGCUGGAAUCAAGAUUGCCAGGAGAAAUAUCAAUAACCUCAGAUAUGCAGAUGACACCACCCUUAUGGCAGAAAGUGAAGAGGAACUAAAAAGCCUCUUGAUGAAAGUGAAAGUGGAGAGUGAAAAAGUUGGCUUAAAGCUCAACAUUCAGAAAACGAAGAUCAUGGCAUCCGGUCCCAUCACUUCAUGGGAAAUAGAUGGGGAAACAGUAGAAACAGUGUCAGACUUUAUUUUUUUGGGCUCCAGAAUCACUGCAGAUGGUGACUGCAGCCAUGAAGUUAAAAGACACUUACUCCUUGGGAGAAAAGUUAUGACCAACCUAGAUAGUAUAUUCAAAAGCAGAGACAUUACUUUGCUCACUAAGGUCCAUCUAGUCAAGGGUAUGGUUUUUCCUGUGGUCAUGUAUGGAUGUGAGAGUUGGACUGUGAAGAAGGCAGAGCGCCAAAGAAUUGAUGCUUUUGAACUGUGGUGUUGGAGAAGACUCUUGAGAGUCCCUUGGACUGCAAGGAGAUCCAACCAGUCCAUUCUGAAGGAGAUCAGCCCUGGGAUUUCUUUGGAAGGAACGAUGCUGAAGCUGAAACUCCAGUACUUUGGCCACCUCAUGCGAAGAGGUGACUCAUUGGAAAAGACUGAUGCUGGGAGGGACUGGGGGCAGGAAGAGAAGGGGACGACAGAGGAUGAGAUGGCUGGAUGGCAUCAUGGACUCGAUGGACGUGAGUCUGAGUGA
rnacentral:lncRNA from 1 species